GAGGGUGCUCUGGCCACCUGGCUCGGAGAACUGAAUUCCAUAGGCUGUGAGCUCUAGCAAAUGCCCUAGGGACUCAGUUCUGGGGCCGAGCCGUGCUGU
rnacentral:pre_miRNA from 1 species